rnacentral:rRNA from 1 species
AAACUAACUAGGAUUCCCAAAGUAACGGCGAGUGAACUGGGNAAAGCCCAUCGCUGAAUCUUUCGAUGUUUAUGUCGUAAAGAAAUGUAGCGUAUAGGUAUGAUUGUCGGUUUGUUUAACAUGUCCAAAGUUCCUUUGAUAGGGGCCACAUUCCAGAGAGGGUGCGAGACCUGUGCGGAUAGUUGGACAUACCGUAUAGUUAUACCGUUGAGUCGGGUUGCUUGAAAGUGCAGCCUUAAGUGGGUGAUAAACUUCAUCUAAGGCUAAAUACGGACGCGAAUUCGAUAGCAAACAAGUACUGUGAAGGAAAGUUGCAAAGAACUUUGAAGAGAGAGUUCAAGAGAACGUGAAAUCGUUGAAGUUGAACCGGAGAGAGUUGACGUAGUAUAGUGGAUAAGUAUCGCAAGAAUCGCAUCAUUAUAAUAUGAUGAAUGUGAACGAGCGUUAUGUAUGCCAUUAAUAACUGCACUGACAGCAUCGACUACACGAUCUGAACUGUGUUGACAUGUUGCCCAUUCUAUAUUUAAUAGAAUGGUGUCUUGUGUUAUGUGGUAAAGUUUGUUGUUUAGUGUUGAUGUUGAAAAUGUUGUGAAUUAUUUAAUAAUGAUGUCAGUGUAAAAGUCAAUCACCUCUCCGACCCGUCUUGAAACACGGACCGAGGAGUGUAAUUUGUACGCAAGUCAAUAGGUGUUAAAACCUAAAGGCGUAAUGAAAAUGAAGGCACGGUUAACCGGUUAACAUGGGAGACGUUCGUUUGUUUGUUAAUCAGACAACGUUACGUUACACCAUGGCCCUGUCUUAUCUGUAUACAGAUGGGCAGCGGUAGAGCGUAUAGAUUGCGACCCGAAAGAUGGUGAACUAUGCCUGAGCAGGACGAAGUCAGAGGAAACUCUGAUGGAAGUCCGUAUCGGUUCUGACGUGCAAAUCGAUCGAUAGACUUGGGUAUAGGGGCGAAAGACUAAUCGAACCAUCUAGUAGCUGGUUCCCUCCGAAGUUUCCC